GAUGAACGCUGGCUACAGGCUUAACACAUGCAAGUCGAGGGGAAACGACGGGGAAGCUUGCUUCCCCGGGCGUCGACCGGCGCACGGGUGAGUAACGCGUAUCCAACCUGCCUCUGACUGAGGGAUAACCCGUCGAAAGUCGGCCUAAUACCUCAUGGUAUCGUCUGCGGGCAUCCAACGACGAUUAAAGAUUUCAUCGGUCAGGGAUGGGGAUGCGUCUGAUUAGCUUGUUGGCGGGGUAACGGCCCACCAAGGCUACGAUCAGUAGGGGUUCUGAGAGGAAGGUCCCCCACAUUGGAACUGAGACACGGUCCAAACUGCUACGGGAGGCAGCAGUGAGGAAUAUUGGUCAAGGGGCGAGAGCCUGAACCAGCCAAGUAGCGUGCAGGAAGACGGCCCUAUGGGUUGUAAACUGCUUUUAUGCGGGGAUAAAGUGAGGGACGUGGCCCUCAUUGCAGGUACCGAAUGAAUAAGGACCGGCUAAUUCCGUG
rnacentral:rRNA from 1 species